AUCACUUCUCGGCCUUUUGGUUAAGAUCAAGUGUAGUAUCUGUUCUUAUCAGUUUAAUAUCUGAUACAUCCUUUCUCCAAGGACAUUAUAUUAAACUAGGGGCCCGGGGCACAAAAAAUU
rnacentral:snRNA from 1 species